CCCUUAGAUGUUCUGGGCCGCACGCGCGCUACACUGACGGAGUCAACGAGUGGUCCUGCAUCGAAAGGUGUGGGUGCUCUUUGGAAACUUCGUCGUGCUGGGGAUAGAUCUUUGCAAUUAUCGAUCUUGAACGAGGAAUUCCUAGUAAGCGUGAUUCAUCAGAUCGCGUUGAUUACGUCCCUGCCCUUUGUACACACCGCCCGUCGCUACUACCGAUUGAAUGGUUUAGUGAGAUCUUCGGAUUGGCGCCACUGCGGCUCAGCAAUGGGCUCGGUGGAUGCCGAAAAGUUGAUCAAACUUGAUCAUUUAGAGGAAGUAAAAGUCGUAACA
rnacentral:rRNA from 1 species